UUUAGCUAACGUGUGUUAAUUUCACAUGCUUUUCAUAUUCAUACAUAUAUAGAGUGCGGCUAGGAUGCUUGUGGAAGCACGGAGGGCUCCGUGCUUCCACUUUGUUUUCGAUGUUCGGACUUUUGAAUCGACGAUCGGCUCCGUUAGACUUGAUCUAGAGUAUUUGAAGUAUUUAGAAAAUAAAUUUUGCGAUUUUUCGAUAUCAUUUGCCUAGUGAUCGGAGUGGCUCAAAAUCAAUGGCUGAAAAUAAAAAUCCUACAAAAUAUGAUGAUAUGACAUUAAAAUCUUAGAUCAAAGUUAUUGAUCUUGUUUUAUAUGGUAUAAAGAAUUUUCUAUCAAAAUUUCACGUGAUUUGGAUAUUUCUACACCGUUAAGCUUGCAACCAGCUCACCACGGCCGUUAAAAUUAUUGAUUUUGAGCCCCUUCGAUCACUAGGCAAAUGAUAUCGAAAAAUCGCAAAAUUUAUUUUCUAGGUACUUCAAAUACUCUAGAUCAACUCUAAUAAAGCCGAUCGUCGAUUCGAAAGUCCGAACAUCGAAAACGACUUGGAAGCACGGAGGCCUCCGUGCUUCCAUAAGCAUACCAGCACAACUCUCUCUCUUCUCUCUCUCUCUCUCUCUCUCUCUCUCUCUCUAUAUAUAUAUAUAUACAUAUGAGUUUCUAUGCUUUUAAAAGUACCAAAAGCACGAAGUCAUUGUGCUUAUAGGUUUUCAGCUUUUGAAUGAGUACGAUUACAAUAAUAAUGAUCCCUUACGGUUGAGUGGUUGAUUAGUUAAAGAAUAUGAUUUAAUGGGUGAAAAUGAUUAAAAAUGUAAAUUUAGCGAUGAAAAAUUUAUAAGCACUAAGUGCUUGAUGGUUCUAAAAGCACCGUAGCGGGACUUUAUAUAUAUAUAUAAAGUAAGGCUACUAUGCUAUCGGAAGCACGGAGCCUUCCAUGCUUCAAGCUCGUUUUCAAUGUUGCGGCUUUCGAAUCGUCGAUCGGCUCCGUUAAACUUGAUCUAGAGUAUUUGAAAUACCUAGAAAAUAAAUUUUAUGAUUUUACGAUAUCAUUUGCCUAGUGAACGAAGGGGCUCAAAAUCAACAGCUGAAAAUAAAAAUCUUACAAAAUGUAAUAAUAUGACAUUAAAAUUUUAAAUCAAAGAUAUUGAUCUUGUUUUAUGUAGUAUAAAGAAUUUUCUAUCAAAAUUUCACGUGAUUUGAAUAUUUCUAGACCGUUAAACUUGCAAACGGCUCACUAUGGCCAUUGAAAUUUGUUGAUUUUGAGCCCAUUCGAUUACUAGGCAAAU
rnacentral:lncRNA from 1 species